rnacentral:tRNA from 1 species
GAGGGGAACAGCUCAGUGGUAGAGCACAUGCUUAGCAUGAAUGAGUUCCUGGGUUCAUUCCCCAGUACCUUCA